CUAAAAAAUUCCCCUAGUGUCGUUAUCACUUAUCAAAAAAACAAAAUUAAUCUCAAUUAAUUUCAUCUUAAUUCCUUAAUUUUUUCCUGGGGCUCACGUUGCUCUUUGUGGUAUAUAAAUAAAGGACAAAAGGAAAGCAGGACUGUUCCUUCCCUCGUUUUGGCGUAGCGCAAGGUUUUUGCAGAGAGUGCAGUGUACCCAGAAAAAGAAAGGUUGAGAAAAUUUCUGAAAAGUGGGUUGUGUAUCAGAGAAAGGUAGCACCUUUUGUCUUUCCUGGUGUUGAAGGAGGUUUGAAGUGUUCGCGACCGCUUGCGGAAUUCAACAAUCUUCCCAGAAAUUAAUUCAAAGUCGAUUGAAUUGACCGAUCUGGAGAGGAAGCGUCUUCAGAGGGUCGUGAAGUACUUUGGUAAGGGGACGAGGCGUGUAUCUCGUGUGUGUCGUUUCGCUGUACUCGAGGAGUAUGGGUUGAGUAGGAAGACGAUUAAGAUGCCGGAUAACAAGGCCAAAGAGAAGAACAAGAAGAAGACGAGUGUGUGUGAUGAGUUGUCGGAUCAUGACUUGGUUUUGGGUCUCGCCAAGGAUGCGCUAGAAGCCCAGAGGCAUGACGUUAGUCUGCUCUUUUGGCGAAAUUUUUCGUUGUGAUGGGGAGGUUGAUCUCUGAGUUAGUGUGGAGGAAUUUGACGAAUUUCCGCCCAAUGUGGUAGAAUAUCUCGUACUAACCUCGAUGACUUGCAUAUCGAGGAUACAGGAGGAGUCAAUGAAGGGGAGAAGCGAGAAGAUAUUGAGGUGGAGCUCGAUUUGGAAGAGGUUGCGAACCAAGAGCAGGAUGUUCUGGGCAAGGGAUGGACCUCUGUUGCCUAGAAGUUGGCGGCGCUGAGGCGAGAGGAAGAGGCUGGGCCGGAGAGGGAAAAGAUUUAAGAAAGUGGUGGCUAGAGGGAAGCGAUAGUGGAGGCUGUAGUGCAAGAAGUGGUGGUUCAAGAAGUGCAAGGGGAAGGGGGUGGCGAUACUGAUACCGCUUGUGUGGCAGAGGUCUUGGUACCACAAAAUGUUGCUGAGGGUGGCCAUGAAAUAGUGGAAGGAGCUACUUGUGUCGAACCGACACCGACAGUUGCCCAGAAGAAGAGAAAGCCACUAAGGCUGGGGGAUUUGAUGAAGGGGGUCCCAAUUAAUCCUUAGCUUACUAAGAGGGUCAGAACUGGUGACGCUGGGCCCUCGAGGCAGUCUAGCCAAGGAGAGUCAUAGCCUGGGGGAUCAAAGUCUUCCUAAUCCUCCAGGCCGUCUUCUCAUGGUUCUGGCACGUUUACCGGUGCGCACCUAAAGCGAGAUUGGACAAGGUCAUGCUAGAUAUGGAGGUUGAGAAGAAAGAGCAAGAAGAAGCUAAUGAGAUCGCAAAGCAAGAUGGGUUACGCCUGCAUAAAGAGAGGCGCUUGGCCUUUUUGGAUGCUGCCCAGCCAGGUCGAUACCGACAGCAGCAUGGUCGAGCCAAUGGCAAAUGGCGUUGUCAGCGCCAGUUACGAGUGCACCGACACCGAUAAAGACAGUUGCCAUAACGCUGCUAGCGACAGCUACAGGUGCGCCGACACCCUCGAGACAUGGAGAUCAGUAGCAGCCUCUUUCAGAAGUCCCCUAAGGAGUGACAUUUUGUAAUAGGAUAGUGCUAGUUUAACCUUUUUUUUGUUUUUAAGAUUAUUGUGGAUAAUUUGUUUGCUUUGGUGAUUUGGACACCGUUUGGCCCAAUUGGAGUGACCUGCUUUAAAUUAACCAUGGUUGACUUUUGGGUUUCAUAGACUGACAGUGAGUCUUCCCAUGCGCUGUGAGCAUUGAAUGAGUGUUUUAAUUCCAACGCAAUCAUAAUUGCAUUUUAUUACAUUUCAUUGACCGUCGAGUUUUCCAAGCCAAAGACAGUGUUUCGAUGGUUCAGUAGGCUGUAUAAAUAGUGUUUCGAUGGUAGAGUGUGAAGUAUCAAGAUAACAAAGAAAAUGUGUUUCUCUGUGUUUCUGAUUUUGCUUCUUCUCCUUAAAGCCAUGCUUGUAGGCGUGCCCUUGUUUGAGCACCGUAGACUUUUUAGUUUAAUCUCAGGCCUGGGAUAUAGGCUUUAUAGCUUAAUCUCAGGCAGGCCUCGGUUCUCCAGCAAAGAGAUGGGCCGCUAUCGCAUGUGGAGAUCAAGAACCCAUACUGGAGCAGAGAUGUCUUCUGAUUGGCUAGGGAGAUCCAAGGGCAACAGGAAAAGGCGUAGGCGGUGAGGGAAAUUGAGUCUCGUGGCAUGCUGCAUGUCGUCCGUCAGUGGUGGCUGGUCAUGCCUGCAAAGUUGGCACCGUUCGUGGGGCAGAGAAGAUGUUUAGCGUAAAGUUGGCGUUGUUUGUUUAGCGAAAUGUAAUUGACAGAUAUCUGUGUAUUGCUAUUGACCACAAAGCUUUAGGUGGAAUAAACGAGCAGAAUUUGUUUAUACUUGGUAUAUGUUAAAUUUGCUGUUUUAUUUAUUGGAAGUUGUAUGUAUUUGAUCAGGAUAUAUGUUAGC